AUGGCAGUAAUUUUGAAUGGAAUGUGUUUGGAACUGUUAAGAUUACUGUUGAAUGCUUCCAACUUUGAGAUUAUUGCUGAAAUUAUUGUGGUUUGUGGGGUUGGAAAGCAUAGAAGUGAAAAAGGGGAAUCAUCAAUUAAAGCAUUGGGUCAGAAGAUGUUGAUGGAGAUGAAAAGUCCACUCAGGAUUGAUAAAAGGAAGAUGGAUGCUUUGUUGGUAAAGGUAAAGCUGUUAAAAUCUGGUUAUGUGAAUUGA